GGGCCGGUGGCGCAGUUGGUUAGCGCGCCUCGAUGGCAUCGAGGAGGUCGUGGGUUCGAAUCCCAUCCGGUCCA
rnacentral:tRNA from 1 species